ensembl:misc_RNA
CACACAGUCCUGAAGACUGCAGGCCUCUGCUUAGCCACAAAGCAGAUACAGAACUGGCAGCAACAGCAUUGAAAGCUUCCUCACACUAGCCUGCCAAUGUGCCUGACCUGGAGAGGCCACCUCUAGUGGAAUGGGGAUGGCUUAUUCUUCAUGCCCCAUGCUGACCAGCCCCUCU